rnacentral:misc_RNA from 1 species
GUGAAUCAUCGAAUUUUUGAACGCAAAUUGCACUCUCCUCGGAUAUGAUGCCUGUUUGAGGGUCAGCCUAAAAAAAAUCGACAGUGUUGCUGUUUUAUGGUGACUUUCGGCGGAGAGGGGUGAUCUUAAAUCUCGGUUUAAGCGACUUAAAAAUUUUUUUUACUAUUCUAAGAAUUUUUCUAGGAUUUUUCUUGUC